rnacentral:rRNA from 1 species
GACGAACGCUGGCGGCGUGCUUAACACAUGCAAGUCGAACGGAAAGGCCCUGCUUUUGUGGGGGGCUCGAGUGGCGAAAGGGUGGGUAACACGUGAGUAACCUGCCCUUGACUUUGGGAUAACUUCAGGAAAAUGGGGCUAAUACCGGGUAGGAGCUCCUGCUGCAUGGUGGGGGGUGGAAAGUUUCGGCGGUUGGGGAUGGACUCGCGGCUUAUCAGCUUGUUGGUGGGGUAGUGGCUUACCAAGGCUUUGACGGGUAGCCGGCCUGAGAGGGUGACCGGCCACAUUGGGACUGAGAUACGGCCCAGACUCCUACGGGAGGCAGCAGUGGGGAAUAUUGCACAAUGGGCGGAAGCCUGAUGCAGCAACGCCGCGUGCGGGAUGACGGCCUUCGGGUUGUAAACCGCUUUCGCCUGUGACGAAGCGUGAGUGACGGUAAUGGGUAAAGAAGCACCGGCUAACUACGUG